rnacentral:tRNA from 1 species
GCUCUAAAAGCUAUGCGAGCAGUUAAUCUUGUAAAUUAAAAGAGAAAGGUAUAAAAUCCUUUUUAGAGCU